AGCAGCCGCGGUAAUUCCAGCUCCAAUAGCGUAUAUUAAAGUUGUUGCAGUUAAAAAGCUCGUAGUUGAAUUUUGGACCUGGUCGGGCGGUCCGCCUUCUGGUGAGUACUGUCAUUGCGCCGGGUCUCUUUUUCUGGUGAGCUGGAGUGCUCUUUACUGGGUGCACCAGGGAACCAGGACUAUUACCUUGAAAAAAUUAGAGUGUUUAAAGCGGGCAUUUGCUUGAAUACAUUAGCAUGGAAUAAUGAAAUAGGACGACGGUUCUAUUUUGUUGGUUAUAGGACCAUCGUAAUGAUUAAUAGGGAUAGUUGGGGGCAUUAGUAUUCAAUUGUCAGAGGUGAAAUUCUUGGAUUUAUUGAAGACUAACUACUGCGAAAGCAUUUGCCAAGGAUGUUUUCAUUAAUCAAAAACGAAAGUUAGGGGAUCGAAGACGAUCAGAUACCGUCGUAGUCUUAACCAUAAACUAUGCCGACUAGGAAUCGGGCGAUGUUAUUUUAAUGACUCGCUCGGCACCUUAUG
rnacentral:rRNA from 1 species